rnacentral:tRNA from 1 species
GGCUACGUAGCUCAGCUGGUUAGAGCACAUCACUCAUAAUGAUGGGGUCCCCUGUUCGAAUCCUGGUUAGAGCACAUCACUCAUAAUGAUGGGGUCCCCUGUUCGAAUCAGGGCGUAGCCACCA